UGUUUUGUUUAUUUUUUGAUAUUGCUAGGGAUGAUGCAAUGAUCGGGGACCAUUCUUAAUUUCGUUGGUCUCAAGACAAUGACAAUAAAGUUUUUGAUUUUGAUUCUGAUUCUGACAUCCACCCUCCUCAAGAGUUCAAUGAUUUAGGCAGUUAUGUUUAUACAAAUACUAAAUGUAUGUUUAGUGUCUUCAUACAGGUGUUUUUCUUAACCUGGAAACCUGAGUACGGCAGCAGAAGACAGGCCAAGCUUCGGCUAAAAUUCACGGCUGGACACCAGAGUUGUCCUCACCCCUCCCGGAAAAACAAAAAAGAGAGAAUGUAGUUUGAGGCAGGUUUUUCUCGCUGAACUGCUCUGGGUGCUGUCUCCCUGAAUCUCACCAGUGUUAACCUCUGGCGGAAGACAUGGAGAAAAGGAAAAGAUGUUCCUGCCGAAGCUGACCUGGACUCCUACCCUCCCCUCUACCAUCGUUGCCCUCUCCGCGACCAUUUUUGACCCUUUGACCCCUGAAGGCCACAGCAGCUGGACUCACAACAACAAUUUGAGGAUGUCAACAGUGCUGCAAAAGAGUGAUCUCAUGCAGCAGAGACGGAGAGCACUAAACCUAAAGCCCGUUUCACUACACGGGGGAAAUUCCCAGGCUGCGUCAGCUGACAGAGCUGUGACGAGACGCGCAUUAAGCCCGGAGGAAAAGGGAGGGUGAGCAAAAGAAUGCUGACCUCUGAGAAGAGCCGAACGGAAGAGCUGCAGAAGGCCGUGGAGCAGAGUAAGGACAACAUAAACAGACUCCAAUCUGACGUGGAAGGAAAGACUCUGAGGUGUUUGCCCUCAGUAAGAGCUCAAGGCAUCAGAACAGAAACUGAGCACGGCUCCGGAGGAGCUGGCUGCUAAUUGAACUCAUCAGUCAGACUUGGAGUUUCACGUACAGGACUUGUAAUCAGGCGGAAGCUUGCUGGAGCAGGAGGUCGUCAGACUUGACGCAAAGCUCCAACAGCAGGAGUAAACCCUGAAAGACCAUACAGAAGCAAAAGGGUCAAGUUACAAGGAGAAGAUGCAGGCAGCUGCAACAACGGAUGAAAACAGACCCAAAGAGGAGGGGAGGACCCUAGGCCAUGCGUCAGGCCGCUGGUUUACCUAAACUACAGAACAGGAAGGUGAUGAACACAAACAUACACCAACACACGAAUACACACUUCUGCAUGCGCCGACUUAGAAUGAAGAGAAACACACACAUGAACACUUAUGCACUCGCUAAGGGAGUAAAAACUGAUACAUACCCAUGCACUAAAAUCAAAAUGUUGAUUUAAUUUACUAAGAAGUGACACACAAUGCUCCAGCUGCUGCAAUGAAGAAUGCUUUACUGACAAAGGCUCAAUGCUGCACACGACAACGUCAAAUACAGAAUUUGCUAUAAUAAUAAGCCCAGAGGGCAUUUGUGUGGUCUGGGGAGCAGAGUCCGGAGCGGUUUGGUUAUGAAAACGAUGCCCGUGCGAGAUAUCUGGGGCUUAAGGCCUCGACUUAAUUGUUUACUGUACACUAAAAAGAAAAGAAAACCCUCUGAGCAGUGGUGCAGAGUGAAAACGAGGAAUUAACAGUGUGAGUUUUAUUUCAGAGCGCCACGUCAUUGUGAUGGAGAUUUAAUAAAGGAGGAACACACGGACAAAGAAGAAGAGAAAGGGGGGGCAGCCCUUGAACACGAUUGCCUGAGGCAUUAAAGUUCUGUACUAAAUUCGGGUUUCCAGUGUGAGAAAAAGUCACGCAGUGCCAGUAGUAGAGCUAGGUUGAGUGAUGAUUCUAAAUUACUGUAAGGAAAUCAUCGUACACCCGUUCAAGGUUCAUGAUAACGGGGAUCUAGACUUUGUUGAACCCUAGGCAAUUUGAACAGGUAAGAUUCGAGUGACCAAGUAGCAGUUGAAUAAAAGUCAUUGAAUAAGUGUUGAAAUACACUGGCAGAAUUAAGAGAAUUGAAACAUUUCAAGAGCUCAAAUUACUUAAUGGUUCAAUUUUGUUUCACGAACGCAAAACAUAUAGGUUUAUGAAUAUGAAAAGGUUGCAGUGGUGUUGAUUUGACUCUGUGUAGGUUUAGGUUUGGUAUUUUUAUUGAUGGGAGGGAUAUUCAGUGACAAGUCCUAAGACCCGGGCGUCUGCAUUUUGUUUUUGUUAUUUUUCAUUUUAUUUUGUUUUAUAUUUUGAACAGUGCACUGAUUUUUGUUUGUGAAUCUUUUCUUUAAGCAGAUCUGCACAACGGAAAUUACAAGCAUUACACGUCGGCGAGAAAAUUGUUGUAAGUGAGUUUCUCCGCAUUGAAAUGGGUUCUGGAGGAAACACUUGUGGGGACAAUUAGAAACGAGAGUCCCUGUUUAAAAAAGGAUUCAGCGAGGUAAUCCAAAUUCAAGUUCUUGUUUUCUUUUUGAGAUGACGUCAUUUUGCUGAGUGUGGAAACUAAAUGCGACGACAGGUUUCACUAUCAGCAAAGAAAGAAAGAAUGGAUGAAUGGAUGAAAGACUGGGAAUAAAAACAAACGGACUGACUGGUAAAAGAUGACAAGACUUGACCAUGACUCAAGGUUAACCACCUCCACCUAGAUAGGAUAAAAGGGUGGAUGAAUUUAUGUGUGUUUCUUUUACAGGAGUAGAAGGAUGACAAAAUAUUCGAGGAUGAGUGAACCUUUAAAUGCCAUUUUUGUGUCUUGUGUUGUUUACAGAGGUAACUGCGCAGCGUUACCAUUUACAUUUUCUUCCCUACAGGGUUACAGUUUUAAUGUUUUUCUAUUACAGGAUUUCUGGGCGGAUGUGUGAAGAAACGGUGUUUAUGGGUUAGGAGUGGGGGAUGCUAUUACACUGUAUUCUGGUGAGAGUGUUGGGGGAGACACACUCUGUCUUGAAAACUGUGAUUCUUUUACAGGAAAUGUUUUAUAGCACCUAUGGAAUGAGGAUGGCUGACUACGGUCAAUGUGCUGCUGAUGUUUGCUUUGCUUUGGUGAGAAGGGUGCAGUAGAAAACAGACAAGUGACAUGAAAACAAGUAAUAAUAACAAAUAACAAAUUUGGGGACAGUUUGACCUAGAGCCCACUAACUGGCCAUUAGGGGCUCUCGCUCUCUCUCUCUCUCUCUCUUUCUCUCUCUUGGAAUAACAUUGCCCAAAAGGGUGAAUAAAGCAAAUUCUGGCAAUAAUAGUGGUUUAAUGAUUGGGGAAACCUGAACAUGAUACUUGUCUGUUGUGCUGAACCGUUUAUUACUCUUAUGAUUUGCAGGUGGUUGUAAAUAAGCUGUUUACUUUAACAGGUUUGCUUUUUAGCUGAAUUGCAAAAUACAACUAGAACGAUUGAUUGAGACUAAUCGCUACUAACCUGAAACUGAGGAGGUUCUAUAUAAGGAGGAAUUAAAACAGGUAUAAAAUGCAUCUGAUCUUUAAUUGCAGGUGGGACCAUGAAGAUUUUUUGGUACAGAUUGCAAGUUGUUGCUCAUUAUUGAAGUGUGUUCAUAAAGGCCAAAAGCUAUAUAGGGGGUCUAUCAUUUGGUCUGUGUUUUAAUAAUUUAGGUAUGGCAAAAUUAAAGGUUUCUAGACAAUUUAGGGAACGAGUGAGAAGCAUAAUUAGAUGAUCAGAAACUGAGUACUACACUCAUGUUAGAAUUGAGAAUGCCCAAUUUGUUUGAGGUCUGUUGUUCAUUUUUAUACACACCUUGCAAAUGUGCUUAUAAGGAGCUGGCACUUAGUCUGUGAAGGUCAAAAGCUUCAUCCGACAACGGAUCGGAUUGAUAUAUUGGUGCUAUUGACUUCACGUGCAGAGGGUUAAAUGCAUGCACGCUUACACACAUAAGCAUGGCAUAGGAUUGGAAUAAACAAAGUCAACGACAUUAGGUUAGGAGAGCCAGCGCAGGAGAGGUGUUGGCUUUCUGUCUCUUGCAGAGAAGGGAACAAACACCAGACGGGGACACGGAGAUAUGGGGACCCUUCACAGCAACUGGGGUCAAGUGUCAUGGCCUUGGGGCUCCUUGAUAAGAUGGAUCCCAUAACCACAGCGAUAACCAGGAAGGGGUUGGCUAAAACUAGGAACACCAGAGACCAACGUGGUUCGAGAGGCUUUUGGCAAAAAGGGGGACACGGCGGUCACAACGGACAACAAACACACAGAUCUGUGUAGCGACUGAAGGGUGGUCUAACCCCGGAAGUCGAAGAAAGAAGAAUCCGAGGGCGUUUCUUCACUCCAAGAGGAGGGGGUAAAGGGGCCUGAAGCGUGUCAGGCUGAAACUCGAGUCUGAAGCUAAAAGAACAGCUGGGGUGUGGGAAAAUUGGAAAACAACGGAGGCGUUGGGAUUGAUAAGUGUCAUAACGUGUUUGUUUGGUUUGGAAAUAAAUCCUGGUGUGAGUUGGGCUGGCAAGCCAGCCCAAAGAGGAGGAAUGUGACCAGGAGAUAUUUUAUUUUGUAUUCUUAUGAUCACAGUUAUAAUCAGAAGUAUCAAUCAUUAAUCAUUUACCAUUGUUGAACCAGUUGACAGAAUAAUCUUUGAACCAUAUCUAGGUUAACAUUAAUCUACACAGAUUAUCAGUACUCUAAUCAGUCUAUUGUUGUUCUGUACUAUUCAUGUUAUUUGCUUAAAGCUGUUUCACAGUUCUCUGUCCACUCUUUGGAGAUCUGUGGCUGUACGCUUGUCUUCCCAUGCUUCUGUCUUAGAAGUGUGCAAUAAAAUCACUAUGUUUGUCACCUACACGGACUCGGCUGUUUUUCCGUCUUACCCAAACCGAACCAGACGUAACACAAG
ensembl:lncRNA